CCUCUCCAGACCGCUCACCUCGGUUUCCUUCCAUUGUACAACCAGGGCAGUAAGCAUAAUUUUGCCUUAACUAUCUAUUCUAGACUCAAGUCUGGCCACAUAGCACUAAUGGACAAGCCAUACAUUUGGAGAGACUCCAAGAAAUCCAUCCCAAGCCCUGAAUGGUCCUGGCCCCGUUCCAGAAUUUUACAAACUUUCCACAAAUUGUGAUUCCAGACACGUUCAUACCUUGGCCCCCAGGAUAAUGGAAGCCACAAAAGAGACAGAAAUUAAAAUGUCAGCCCAGCUGGGUCCACAUUGUAGGCCAGUAAUUACAGUGGAACCCUUUGCCUCUUCGAUCACCUGAGUGGAGCACAUCUGUGCCUCCUGCAAAAAAGGAUAACAGAGUAAUUCAGAGCAGUUUUUUUUUUUUAACAGAUAUCCCUUAACUCAGUUUAAGUAGAGUGCACUACUUAACAACGGCAACUAAGGUUUUAAUAAGCCACAGGAAAAGUUUUAAAAGCGAGGUGAGAAGCAGAGAUCAGCCUUCUGAUGAGCUUUGUAAUUCAGUGACCACUGUCAUCACUCAAGACCUAAAUUACCUGAAAUGUGUCAUCAAGGCCUCAGCAGCAAGUAAAAGAAAGCGUUGUUAUUCUCUGCCUGAGAAAAGAGUUACUGCCCAAACCUUUCAGCCACAGCAGAUUCUGAAGGACGAUUUGUAUGCCACAUCACUACGGAUAGGGAAAAGGAUGUCCACAGCCAAGGUGACAUCUGAGAGGUCAUAUACUUUGUGGGAUCAUGAUAGAAGUUCAAAACAUCAGCCUGAGAAAGGCACGCGGGGUCCUACACGGGUAGGUGCUCCUCUGUGUAGCAGAGAGCCGCCUUCCUGGGGCCACUGGGCUUUGUUCACUCACGAUCCCAGCUGGUCCUGUCAGCGGAGCGUGUCCUGUCUUUGCUCUGGUAAGAAGUAAGUGGAGUUCUGAGGUCCUCUACACUGAAGCCGACACUGGAGAAACUGGCGGGGUGGGGAGAGAAAGGGAAAGGGAGAUCGCGGGGGAUAGAGAGUCCUGAUGACAUUACUGGAGACAAUAAACUACCCACAACUUAGCUUCCCUGGUGGCUC
rnacentral:lncRNA from 1 species